GAAUUUGCAUGUGUGGACAUUGCUUUGGAUCCCUCUGGAUCAGAAGUUCCCUUGUGGGCCCACUGUGAAGAUGAAUUGCUAAACGAAUUGUGAUACAGCCACACAAUGGACUACUGCUCAGCAAUAAAAAGGAAUGAACUAUUGAUAUGCCCAACAACGUAGAUGAACCUCAAAACCGUUAUGCCGAGCAUGGUGGCUGACGCUGGUAAUUCCACCACUUUGGAAGGCCAAGAUGUGAGGAUCACUUGAACCCGGGAGUUCCAGACCAGCCUGGACAGCAUAGUGAGAUUCUGUCUCUAUGCAAAAUAAAAUAAAAUAAAAAAUUAUCCAGGCACGGUGGCAUGCGCCUGUAGUUCCAGCUACUUGGGAGGCUGAGGCAAGAGGAUUGCUGGAACCCAGGAAGUUGAGGAUGCAAUAAGCUUGAUCACGCCACCACACUCCAGUCUGGGCGACGGAGCGAGACCCUGCCUCAAGAGAACAAACAACAACAACAGAAACCUAUGUUUCCCUCUAUGCACUGCUUUAGCUCGUUCAAUUUAAAAUAGUCUCUAAUUUCCCUCGUAUGUCUUUUAUGAUCCAUAAAUAAUUUAUAAGGGUGCUGUUUAAUUUCCAAAUAUUUGUGAUUUCCUCUGAAAUAGAUUAUUCCCACUGACUUAUUUCUGAUUUGUUUCACACAGUGUGCUUUGUAUGAUUUUAAUACAUUUAAAUUCAUUUAAAAUUGUUUUAUGGCCCAACAUAUGGUCAGUCUUGAAAAAUGUACUUCUUUUCACUUGAAAAGAAGUGUGUUUUUCAGUUCUAUAAAUGGUGUCCUAUGAAUUUCAAUUAGAUCAUGGGAGUUGAUAAUGUUAAAAUCUUCUAAGUCUACUGAUUUUUAAAAAUCUAGCUGUUGUAUUAAUUGGUAAGAAGAGUCUUAAAUAUAAUACUCUGACUGUAAAAUAGUCUAUUUUUUCUUUUCAUUCUGUCGAUUUUUGCCUGAUGUAUUUUGAAACUCUGUUCUUAGGUCUAUACACAUUUAUAAUUAUGUCUACACACAUUUAUAAUUAUGUCUACCUGAUCAAUUGUUCUUUUUUCUCAUAAUAAAAUAUCCCUCAUCUCUUCUAAUAU
rnacentral:lncRNA from 10 species